rnacentral:rRNA from 1 species
UACGUAGGGAGCAAGCGUUGUCCGGAUUCAUUGGGCGUAAAGAGCUCGUAGGCGGCUUGAUAAGUCGGAUGUGAAACCUCCAGGCUCAACCUGGAGUCGCCAUCCGAUACUGUCAUGGCUAGAGUCCGGAAGAGGCGAGUGGAAUUCCUGGUGUAGCGGUGAAAUGCGUAGAUAUCAGGAGGAACACCGGUGGUGUAGACGGCUCACUGGACCGUAACUGACGCUGAGACACGAAAGCGUGGGUAGCAAACAGG